GGAGAACAGCUCUCUGGCACUUGCUCAGGGAGAGAAGCCUGGCAUGGAGGCAGGGAGCUGAGUAGGACUGCUGGCAGACAAAGCCGCCCUGAAGGAAGGUCUAGGAAACAGGUCAUAUCUCUGAUGUCUCCCUUCUCAUGGGCUCCUGCUGUUUGCGGCUGGCUAGAGGGGCUUUUACAGAGCAAGGACCUUUACGACGACGACCUGGAUUUUGAUAGAGAACAAUGAAUGGGCUAGAAGGAUUAACAAGGGGAAAGAAAUCCACCAAGAGUAUUGCUGAGAAUCUGAAUUGAGUGGUGCUACUGCAGAGUGGUUUACAAUGUCAUUUGAACCCCAUGAUUAAGCUGGCUCCAGAAGUAACUACAGAAGUUGGAUGCUGGAACAGAAAUCCUGGAUUGGCUGUCCAUGCUCCCAAUCUUUUGCAGACAUUUGGUUUGAUCCUAGCCCUCAUGGAAUAACCAAAGAAUCUCUCCAAUGUGAAGAAUUGCAUAAUGGCUGUAGCGCAUAGAGUUGUACAUCAUUCAACUCACUGCCUAGUCCUUGGAGUACACCAGGAAAGAGACUGGCCAAAAAGAACCUGGGGAUAUAAGUGUAAAAACCUUCUGUUUGUUUUUAAUCAUAUGCACACAUCACGUAACUCUUCCAGGCAUGCAUUGUAGAAGAAAGUAGUUUUGUCAUUCUUUUUUU